CCUUCGGGAGCUGACGAGUGGCGGACNGGUGAGUAACGCGUAGGAAUCUGCCUCAUAGUGGGGGACAACGUGGGGAAACUCACGCUAAUACCGCAUACGCCCUACGGGGGAAAGCGGGGGCUCGUAAGACCUCGCGCUAUGAGAUGAGCCUGCGUUAGAUUAGCUAGUUGGUAGGGUAAAGGCCUACCAAGGCGACGAUCUAUAGCUGGUCUGAGAGGACGAUCAGCCACACUGGGACUGAGACACGGCCCAGACUCCUACGGGAGGCAGCAGUGGGGAAUAUUGGACAAUGGGCGCAAGCCUGAUCCAGCAAUACCGCGUGUGUGAAGAAGGCCCUAGGGUUGUAAAGCACUUUCAAUAGGGAGGAAAACCUGCCGGUCAAUACCCGGUAGCUUGACAUUACCUAUAGAAGAAGCACCGGCUAACUCCGUGCCAGCAGCCGCGGUAAUACGGAGGGUGCGAGCGUUAAUCGGAAUUACUGGGCGUAAAGCGUGCGUAGGCGGUUCGUUAAGUCAGAUGUGAAAGCCCUGGGCUCAACCUGGGAACUGCAUUUGAAACUGGCGAACUAGAGUUGAGUAGAGGGGAGUGGAAUUUCAGGUGUAGCGGUGGAAUGCGUAGAUAUCUGAAGGAACACCAGUGGCGAAGGCGACUCCCUGGACUCAAACUGACGCUGAGGUACGAAAGCGUGGGUAGCAAACAGGAUUAGAUACCCUGGUAGUCCACGCUGUAAACGAUGUCAACUAGCCGUUGGUCCUAUUUACAGGAUUAGUGGCGCAGCUAACGCAUUAAGUUGACCGCCUGGGGAGUACGGCCGCAAGGUUAAAAACUCAAAUGAAUUGACGGGGGCCCGCACAAGGCGGUGGAGCACGUGGUUUAAUUCGAUGCACGCGAAAGAACCUUACCCUACCCCUUGACAUCCAGAGAAUC
rnacentral:rRNA from 1 species